rnacentral:rRNA from 1 species
UACAGAGGGUGCGAGCGUUAAUCGGAAUUACUGGGCGUAAAGCGUGCGUAGACGGCUAUCUAAGUCGGGUGUGAAAGCCCCGGGCUCAACCUGGGAAUUGCAUUCGAGACUGAAUAGCUAGGGUACGGUAGAGGGAAGUGGAAUUUCCGGUGUAGCGGUGAAAUGCGCAGAUAUCGGGAGGAACACCUAUUGCGAAGGCAGCUCGCUGGGACGUCACUGACGCUGAGACGCGAAAGCGUGGGGAGCAAACAGG